UCUUUGGUAGUAUAGUGGUUAGUAUACUCGCUUGUCAAUCGACAACCCGCGAGUGACCGGGGUUCAAUUCCCCGCCAGAGAG
rnacentral:tRNA from 1 species